CUCAGAUGUUAUUUCACCAUUCAGGGCAAUAUGAGUCAUUUAGAUGCAAAAUUUCAUAAUCAUCCAGUGUACCAAUUCAGAACUGUCUUUACAUUUACCCAAAUAAUGUUAUAAUUGGAAUCCCAAUUUACAUGAAAUGGGCUCAAAUUUACACCAAAAGCCUAAAUAUAAGGCUAACUAAUUCAGGGACUGCAUUGGGCUAAAACCCCUAAUUAAAAAGGUGGUUGAUCUGCAAUGGGACAGAUAAUUGAAUAAGUAAAUAAAUAAAUAAAAAGUAGUGUUCCACUAUUAAUAGAAGAACCC